GACGAACGCUGGCGGCGUGCCUAAUACAUGCAAGUGGGACGCAAGAGAACACACUGUGCUUGCACACCGUGUUUUCUUGAGUCGCGAACGGGUGAGUAACGCGUAGGUAACCUGCCUAUUAGCGGGGGAUAACUAUUGGAAACGAUAGCUAAUACCGCAUAAUAUUAAUUAUUGCAUGAUAAUUGAUUGAAAGAUGCAAGCGCAUCACUAGUAGAUGGACCUGCGUUGUAUUAGCUAGUUGGUAAGGUAAGAGCUUACCAAGGCGACGAUACAUAGCCGACCUGAGAGGGUGAUCGGCCACACUGGGACUGAGACACGGCCCAGACUCCUACGGGAGGCAGCAGUAGGGAAUCUUCGGCAAUGGACGAAAGUCUGACCGAGCAACGCCGCGUGAGUGAAGAAGGUUUUCGGAUCGUAAAGCUCUGUUGUAAGUCAAGAACGUGUGUGAGAGUGGAAAGUUCACACAGGACG
rnacentral:rRNA from 1 species